UGAACGGCCACAUUGGGACUGAGAUACGGCCCAGACUCCUACGGGAGGCAGCAGUCGGGAAUAUUGCGCAAUGGAGGAAACUCUGACGCAGUGACGCCGCGUGCAGGAAGAAGGUUUUCGGAUUGUAAACUGCUUUAGACAGGGAAGAACAAAGACAGUACCUGUAGAAUAAGCUCCGGCUAACUACGUGCCAGCAGCCGCGGUAAUACGUAGGGAGCGAGCGUUAUCCGGAUUUAUUGGGUGUAAAGGGUGCGUAGACGGGAAGUCAAGUUAGUUGUGAAAUCCCUCGGCUUAACUGAGGAACUGCAACUAAAACUGAUUUUCUUGAGUACUGGAGAGGAAAGUGGAAUUCCUAGUGUAGCGGUGAAAUGCGUAGAUAUUAGGAGGAACACCGGUGGCGAAGGCGACUUUCUGGACAAUAACUGACGUUGAGGCACGAAAGUGUGGGGAGCAAACAGGAUUAGAUACCCUGGUAGUCCACACCGUAAACGAUGGAUACUAGGUGUAGGAAAUGAUUUCAUUUUCUGUGCCGUCGCAAACGCAAUAAGUAUCCCACCUGGGGAGUACGGCCGCAAGGUUGAAACUCAAAGGAAUUGACGGGGGCCCGCACAAGCAGUGGAGUAUGUGGUUUAAUUCGACGCAACGCGAAGAACCUUACCAAGUCUUGACAUCCUGCGACGGUGCUGGAAACAGUACUUUCCUUCGGGACGCAGAGACAGGUGGUGCAUGGUUGUCGUCAGCUCGUGUCGUGAGAUGUUGGGUUAAGUCCCGCAACGAGCGCAACCCCUGUUUCCAGUUGCCAGCACAUAAAGGUGGGGACUCUGGAGAGACUGCCGGUGAUAAAUCGGAGGAAGGUGGGGACGACGUCAAAUCAUCAUGCCCUUUAUGUCCUGGGCUACACACGUACUACAAUGGCUAUAACAAAGAGAAGCGAGACCGCGAGGUGGAGCAAAACUCAAAAAAGUAGUCUCAGUUCGGAUUGUAGACUGAAAUUCGUCUACAUGAAGCUGGAAUUGCUAGUAAUGGCAGGUCAGCAUACUGCCGUGAAUACGUUCCCGGGCCUUGUACACACCGCCCGUCACACCAUGAGAGUUGGGAAUACCCGAAGCCUGUAAGCUAACGCAAGAGGCAGCAGUCGAAGGUAGAAUCAAUGAUUGGGGUGAAGUCGUAACAAGGUAGCCGUAUCAGAAGGUGCGGCUG
rnacentral:rRNA from 1 species